AUGCGUCGCGAGGGACGGCAGCGAGGGUGGGUGCGCGUGUACGACCGCGAGCUGGUCGACCCGGAGGGCAAGCGCCGCGCCGUGCACGCCGUGGAGGGCCCGGCGGUGGCCAACGGCGGGUUCAUCAGGGCGCCGCGGAAGCCGACCAACCAGUCCAAGUCCGGCGGCCUCCGCGCGCUCGGCAGGAGCGGCAUCGCGCAAGAGGAGAAGGAGGAGGAGCCGCAGGCCCUUCCGCCGACGAUGGCCGCGCGCUUCGGGUACUACUACUCGACGGGAUUGCAGUCGCCGUUCAAGUUCGAGUCCGCCAUGUACAACUACAAGAAAGUGGAGAUCCGUCCGCCGGCGGCAGCGCGCUUCGGGGGAAGAUCGUCGUGCAAGGCGGGGCGCAAGUUCAGGCACGACGAGGUCAAGAAGUACUACCUCGACGCGGCCGACGUCCUCGAUGGGCAGCUCGAUUAUCUUCAUGACUUCGAUUCGUGA
rnacentral:rRNA from 1 species